UUCAAUUUUGGUCGCGGACACCAAGUCCAAUGUCCACACUUUCUCUGGGAAUGAAUUCACGGGAAAACGUUAUCCUUUCUUCUGGCCUUGGUAUGAGAACCAGUGGCUGAGAAUCUGCCCCAGUUCCGCUCCGGGUGUGUAAAAGGGUCGGGUCCCGGGACCGGCGUCAGGAGCGGGGCUGGGCUGUGGGGCAGAAACCCGGUGGACAACAGGCCGGCGCUGAACGGCUCCCAUUUAAUCCCUAAAUUCUGCGUCGUAAAACCCCAGUGAGCGUGGAAAUAAAACCAGGGGGAAUGUAAAUGUGGGGAGAGUGAAAUAAACAGCAACUGAAAUCAGA